AGUCCUCCUUUUGUUUUUCGCCAAAAGCACUUCACAGCCGCCUCAACCGCAAGCUUUGGCAUUUUUCCCCGAUUCAAGCCUUUACAUUUCCCCCAACAGGCAACCUUCUCAUUUUUCCCCAGCGCACUUCACUUCCGUUCCUCUCUACACUCUAGGUUUGUUCCCUCUCCCACCCCCUUCUUUCCUUUCCUUGUUGCGCCAUUAGGGUUCUUCAUCUCUGUAGUGUCGCCGGUAGAAUCGACCUUUGAUAGGUCAUUCUCUUUGGGGUUUCCUGGCCACGGGAAGAAGAGGCAACAUGAGUAAUUUCUGUAAUUUCUUCUGCAAGCCCAAAGACACAAAGAAUAUCCGCAAGAGAAAAAAAAAAGUUGACUCCAACGAGGAAGUCUCCAUUGAUGAUAUUUGUCUUCCGAUCUAGAGACGAAGAAGUUCGCUGACUUCUCUUCUUCUUGCUCCGAGGUUGUCUCCCUGUUCCAGUUUGAUUCGUCCAUGGAGAUUCAGGUCAAGCAUGACAGUUGCGCCAUGGAUGCACUCGAGAUGAAGACCGAGUUCUCCAAGGAUGCCUGCACCAUCAGCGAGUGGGUGCUGAAGAGGGCAGAGGAGGCUCUCAAGGGCAAAUAAGUCUAGAAGAGGGGCGAUGAUAAGAUAUACAAAGGGAUCCACAGGUACACUAAUUACAUUGUGCUCUAAAGGAAUGUGAUAAUAUCUUGACAUAAUAAGUGAUUUUUGGGAUUGAUAAAUGGAAUAGCUAUAGGAUUUAGAGGGAUAUCACUUCUGUCAGAAUUGAUAUUCUUGAUUCAUUCAUAGCCCAUUACAGACUUUAAUAACUGUCCCGCCAGAAUCAAUUAUGCUGUUCUUAUAGACAGCAAAAAAAGAAUCCAUAAUGAUCUGCACUUUCUGAAGUAUGCUCUAUGUAUUUUUUGCUAUGCUAUCAAGGAAAAUCUCAUUUAUCAAAAUCCAUGAGUCAAUUUUCUUAUGUCGUUCUUAUUGAUAAAUCACUACCACUUGCUCUUCAUGUCAUCUAUUUUAUACCUCAGUUUGGAUAUCUAAUUUAUGUAAUUUUUUUGAGCAUGUUUUCUUACUUAUUUGCUUCCUUUUCUGGGGUCGGGGGCUAAAAAUUCUUCCAGAAUAGCCAAUGAGAAUCUUAUAUUUAGAGAAUUGGUGUUACUUUGUUCCUUUACUAGGGAAACUCAUUUGCUAAAUUAAGUGCUUCAAAUUAACUCAUUUGCUGUAUUCAUUAUGUUGGCAGAAGUUUAUUUAUUUGACUAGCUUACAAUGUUGAACACAUGAAAAUUUUUAGCACACAAAAAUGUGCAUCUUCCCAUGUCUAGUUGGUCUCAUUUGCUGAAUGCUCUCUUAUUUCUUCGCUGAAACUGGACGAACUGGAGGUGACGUGCCAUAGUUAUUCUCAGAGGAUACAUUGUACAAAUGCGCUUAUGUCAACUUCCAGUAUUACAUAGUUAUGACGGAUUAAGCUGCACAAUUAUCAAUGCAUUCCAAUUUAUGCGUUCCAAUUUAUGACGGAUAUUUGCUAUACAAAAUUCAUGCAUUCCAAUUUAUAAUAAAUAGCCAUAUCGUUCUUGUAAGGUGAUUCUAGUGUAGGUUGUAUGUUUCUGGUGGCUGGAUUUAUUAAAAGCAAGCAUAAAGAUCCUACUAUAAAGUUAAAUUAUUUAAAUACUGUUUUACUUUGUUUUUGGACAUCCAAGCUUAGCAGUGAUGGCAUAAUGCAUGUUUGUUCAUAUCUCAAUAACAAUAUCUUUAUUUCUUUAUAGUUUUAUACAUCAUCAAAAGCUAGUAUGUUAGAUCCCAAGGGAUUUGAAACUUUCAUUAUAAGAUUAGUUCCAUAACUUUAGUUCAAUAAGCUAUAUGUGUUUUUACACUAGUACAAGACUCUUUGUUCAGCAUUCUCAAGAUUUAUCGCAUUCAAAUGAUUUGGAAUUUGUUUUUUCCAUAUCAAACUAAACUAUAAAUGUGACUGAACAUUUUACUACUAUAGAAUAAUUAAUAGUGUAAAUAUGUAUUGGAAUCUGAUUCACUGAGUUAAGAUGUGUAAUUUUAUUAGUUAUUGGUGCUUAAAUUUAAAUGUGUCAAUAGUGACUUACAUGCUUUGCUUUGUUCACAUGGGGUAAAUUUAGAUUUGACCUUAAUUUUUAUUAAAGACGAUCCUUAUAGAGAAGGGUGAUAAUGCUUGAUGUUAGAUACUUUUGCUAAUAGAUGUUGUUACAAACUGACGUAUGGUUAUGCAUAUUCUUUUACCAUUAUCUAUGGUAUUUUUUUUGUAUGUUUAUCUCAUAUGUACCCAUCAUCUAUGGUAUUUUUUUUUUUAUGUUUACCUCAUAUGUACCCAUCAUCUAUGGUAUUUUUUUUUGUAUGCUUACCUCAUAUGCUCAAGUUCCAUGAUGAUGAUUAUGGUUAUCUUGUAUGUUCAAAUUUUUUUUUUACCAUUACUUUGCAAUUACCUUUACAAAAUGUAUUUAGGCAUCAAUUAAUAAUUCUUUUUAUUUGGAUUGUGACUAAUUGCAUUAAAUUUUUAAUUUUAUUAUGGUAAUCUAAAAUAAAAUGGUGGUUUUGAAUGUGGAUAUUGUGUAAUGCGGUAUAUGAAAGAGAUAGUCUUAGAUGAAGAUCCACAAUGGGAGAGGAAGGUGAAUUUCUUCUUUAUGUAAUAUUGAGUGAUUUGAGUCAUUUUGCAUUAACCCUUAAACUUCUGUUAAUGCUUUAGUUUGCAGGAUCAAGAAACAAACAAUAUUACAAUCAAUGUCAGUAUGAUGAAGUCAGAAGUAAAUGAAGCGAAUUCGUCUGGUUCUAUGUGGGUGUCUAAGUGUAAGCUAUGAUAUAAAUUUUGGAUUGUAACUAGAGAUUUAUGGAUACAAAAGCUUUUGGGCGAAGUUAGUCAAACUUGUCUUUUGUGAAUAUACUUUUGGAUUAUAUUUAGAGAUUUGUUGAUAUAAAAGGUUUUGGGUGAAGUUGGUUACAUGUCUUUUAUGAAUAUACUUUUAGAUUGUAUUUUAUAGAUAUUUGUGAAAUAUUUGUUCAAUUUUGGUGGUGAAAAAUAUUAUGUAGUAAAAUAUUAUGAUAUAUAUUUUUAUCAAUUAAAAUUGUAUAGUAGUAAAAUAUCAUCAAUUACUUCAACACUAUGAAUAAAUGGUGGAGUAAAACAACACAAAAGACUUUGACAAAUUUAAAUAGUAACGUAGUUAAAGAAAUUAUUUACUUCACCACCGAUAAAAUUUGUGAAGUCGUUUGUAUAAAUUACUAUGCUAAAUUAAAAUUUUUGUUGUAGUAAAAUAUUCUCUAUUAUGUCUACACUACGAUGAAGUAAUACAAUACUUUGAACAAGUUAAAUUAUCCAGAAGUAAAAUUAAACAUUUACUGCACUAGAAUAUAAAAGUUGUGAAGUCGUAUACAAAUUUUACUUCAUCAAUCAAUGUAACCUAUGAAGUAAUAUAUCAUUAACUACUUCAGUACUUUUUCUGAUCUCGAUGAAGUAAUAGAGUCAUUUUUACUUCGAAAAUGGUUCGAUUUUGAACCGAUUUUAGACCGGUGAUAGACUUCAGUAAUUGUGUAGCGAAGUAAUAAAUUAACCCUUUUACUUCAUGCGCGUCUACUUCGGUAAUUAUCUACCUAUUACUUCGGAUAAUAGACUUCGGACCCCAGUGGGCUUCUCUCGGCUGUCAAACUCCUCUUUGUUGUCAAGCUAUGAUCCACUGCGAUUCGUUCACCGGAGGGGUUAUCGCUGUUCCAACACCGGUGUAGUAAGGUAAGGAUUAGGUAUAAGCUUAAUUAAAUUCUAAAUUUCCAGUUAAGAGAUUGGUUUAUUAGGUUAAUUAUUAUUUUAGUGUAGGUUGAGUAUGGAGAUUUAGUUGCAUUUUUGUGAUGGAAUAGUGGUUAUGGGUUUGUAUCAGAUUAUGUUGGAAAUUAUGUAAUUUGUUGUUGCUUGGAUAAUUAAUGAUUGGUGGGUUUAGAAGGAAUUAUGAUGAGAUUCGAUUAGUGAUUAAUUGGUGGAAAUAAGGAGUUUAUUGGUGGAUUAAGGAUAAACUUAUUAUUUAACUGAAUUUGGAUCAUUAGGUAGAAUUAUACGUGGAUACAUAUUCGAACUAGGAUUAUGUUUUAGGUUUAGCUAAUUGUUCUAUAUGUGAUUAGCUAAAUUGUAUAUCAUAUUAUUUACAGGACUUGGAUUCGAGACGGGCGUUUCAACGUCGGAUUGGUUUGAUUUGUUCUCCUUUUAAAGUUGUAAUUCACUUGCAUCAGCUAAUUUCAAUUGUGCCCUCUACAAGUAAAACAAAUUCUGCCGAAAAGUAUAUUCAGGUCGAUAAUUAUGAAUUCUGAUUCAUGGGGUUUCUGAACUAUGACACUGUUGAGCAUCAUCUGCAUGAAGCUUUGCUCCAUAUGCAAAAGGAAGCAUCGCCAUGACGAUAGAUCCAGAUGUUCCAACCAUGUAACUUUGGUACUGGGCAAUAGACUUAGGGUCUUUCUUUAAUUCAUGUCAAUAUUUAGAUUGUUGUUUAGAGAAAUUGAUGAGCUUUGUAAAAUAAUUAUUAGAUAAAUAAAAAUUAUGUAUUCACA